rnacentral:rRNA from 1 species
GACGAACGCUGGCGGCGUGCUUAACACAUGCAAGUCGAACGGAAAGGCCCUGCUUUUGUGGGGUGCUCGAGUGGCGAACGGGUGAGUAACACGUGAGUAACCUGCCCUUGACUUUGGGAUAACUUCAGGAAACUGGGGCUAAUACCGGAUAGGAGCUCCUGCUGCAUGGUGGGGGUUGGAAAGUUUCGGCGGUUGGGGAUGGACUCGCGGCUUAUCAGCUUGUUGGUGGGGUAGUGGCUUACCAAGGCUUUGACGGGUAGCCGGCCUGAGAGGGUGACCGGACACAUUGGGACUGAGAUACGGCCCAGACUCCUACGGGAGGCAGCAGUGGGGAAUAUUGCACAAUGGGCGGAAGCCUGAUGCAGCAACGCCGCGUGCGGGAUGACGGCCUUCGGGUUGUAAACCGCUUUCGCCUGUGACGAAGCGUGAGUGACGGUAAUGGGUAAAGAAGCACCGGCUAACUAUGUG